UAAUAUGUACGAAACCCACUCAUUCUACGAGCUUCCAAUGUUUCCCCUAAUCAUGUUUGACAUUCUCUCUACACCCAAACGACGGCUUUAUAGGUUUCUCUGUUUCUGUAGUGAAUAGCUUUAUCUCUCUUUCUCACCUUUAAAUCAUUCCUCGAGUCUGUCCCACUACGAUGAAUUCAAUUGCUCCCUUCCCAAAAAUUCAUAUGAAAACCCUAAAAACUUUUUAUAUAACCGUCUAAGAAAUCUACAAAUCAAGUUUCUUCAUCAUCCUCUGUGUUCGUUGCGAUCUUGGACACUCAGAGAUAUCGUCAGUCUUCUAUGAGAAGGUCCUCCUUCUCACUUGGGAUACAACAAUGUGUUGAUCCUAAUCGUUAGGAUCAUUGUUUUCAUAUUCGCUACGGUUGGAUUGCUGCUGAUGAUAGAGACACUGGGUGGAGUUUCGGAACAAAUUCUACGUAGGAGAUUGUUCCAAGUUCGCUCCUUAUUCUUUCAUUCUCACCGGAAACGAAGACGAGGGGUAGGGAUGGAUGAUUGUUACAGACCAACUUUUAUUUAUUUUUUUCCCUCUCCAGUCUCCACAUUUGGGGUGGGUGGAUUAAAUAGUUUUAUUUUGUUUGCCUGUAUGGAGAUUAGAUCUUUUUAAACAAAAGUGGGAAAGUGUAUAGUGGAAUUUGUAUGAGGCAAAACUCAUUUCUUGCUGUGAUUGUUUGGAAUUAAAUACGUGAGGAUUUGAUUCCACUUAUACAAAA